GCCUCCGCUGCCGCCAUGGCGCUUGUGAAAAAGCUUGUGGCGAAGGGGGGGCAAAAAAAAAGAAGCAGGUUCUUAAGUUCACUCUUGAUUGCACACGCACCCAGUGGAAGAUGGAAUCAUGGAUGCGGCCAAUUUUGAACAGUUUCUUCAGGAAAGAAUCAAAGUGAAUGGAAAAGCUGGAAACCUUGGAGGAGGGGUUGUAACAAUCGAAAGAAGCAAAAGCAAGAUCAUUGUAACUUCCGAGGUGCCUUUUUCCAAAAGGUAUUUGAAAUAUCUCACCAAAAAAUAUUUGAAGAAGAAUAACCUACGUGAUUGGUUAUGUGUCGUUGCUAACAGCAAAGAGAGUUAUGAAUUACGUUACUUCCAGAUUAAUCAAGAUGAAGAGGAGGAAGAAGAUGAGGAUUGAAAUUCCUUUAUCUGUAACAUUUUGUAUGAAUUCUUGAAUUAAAGUAAGGAAUCAAAAAAAAAAAA